rnacentral:rRNA from 1 species
AUUGAACGCUGGCGGAAUGCUUUACACAUGCAAGUCGAACGGCAGCACGGACUUCGGUCUGGUGGCGAGUGGCGAACGGGUGAGUAAUACAUCGGAACGUGCCCAGUCGUGGGGGAUAACGUAGCGAAAGCUACGCUAAUACCGCAUACGAUCUACGGAUGAAAGCGGGGGAUCGCAAGACCUCGCGCGAUUGGAGCGGCCGAUGGCAGUUUAGGGAGUUGGUAGGGUAAAGGCCUACCAAGCCGACGAUCUGUAGCUGGUCUGAGAGGAUGAUCAGCCACAGUGGGGCUGGAACACGGCCCAGACUCGUACGGGAGGCAGCAGUGGGGAAUUUUGGACAAUGGACGCAAGUCUGAUCCAGCCAUUCCGCGUGCAGGAUGAAGGCCCUCGGGUUGUAAACUGCUUUUGUACAGAACGAAAAGGCUCUGGUUAAUACCUGGGGCUCAUGACGGUACUGUAAGAAUAAGCACCGGCUAACUACGUGCCAGCCGCCGCGGUAA